GUCACCAUACCACCUUGUCAAUGCCCGAUCUUGUCUGAUCAGGGAGGCUAAGCAGGGUUGGGCCUGGUGAGAACUGGAUUGGAGAUUGCUGGGAACGGUUGGGUUUCAGAUGACA
rnacentral:rRNA from 1 species